GGCGAUAGAAGAACAUUUUCAGCCAGAAAUUUGCCACCAAGCAGCCUCCCAGGAGCAGAGGCGAAUUGCAAUGGACGAACAGGAGGAGCUGAACGGUGAAAGUUAGCAGGCUGCUCGCAUUCCUGAAAGUGACAUAAAUGACAGGUACACAAUUAUGUGAAAAUCAUUUGAUUGCUGUCCACAUCCUGUUCAAAUAGCUUUUGACAGCGCACACGCGUCCAGGAAAACCAACCCACACCCACAAGCCACCCUUGCUCGCCAUCCACCGCCCAGAAUGCCACCCAACAGCGACACCACAAUAAGCGACAAUAAUUUAAGUUGCCCGGCCAGGCCAAUACACUAAUACGCAGGUGGGCUGGCUGACCACAAAAACGCAAACACAGCACAGCAGCUACAAUGGCAGGAAGAUAAAGGCACAAGGGGAACCGCUGGCGAGUUUAUGUCCAGCGAGACGUGGCAAGCCACACGAAAACGCGGUUUGCGGCUGCCCACCGAAAUGCAAAAAAACAAAAGCCGGGAAAGGUUAAUUUCAGCUAAGAGUAAAGUGUAUACCCUGCUCCAUAUGCUCAACUGAUCAUUGUAACCCAACAAAAAGGAGAGCUGUGUGUAUACAAUCAAAUAAAGGGCGUUGUAUCUAGCUUGUCAUUUAUCGUGUCAUCAAAAUAAAUUACUCACAAGGUUGAAUGUUUUAAAAUGAUCAGAUCCCGAAAAAUCCAUAGCAUUGAUGUGCCCUUUUAAAAUGAUCAGAUCCCGAAAAAUCCAUAACAUUGAUGUGCCCU
rnacentral:sRNA from 1 species